AGGAUCCUACGGGACGCAGCAGUGGGGAAUAUUGCACAAUGGGGGAAACCCUGAUGCAGCGACGCCGCGUGAGUGAAGAAGUAUUUCGGUAUGUAAAGCUCUAUCAGCAGGAACGAGACAAGACGGUACCUGACUAAGAAGCCCCGGCUAACUACGUGCCAGCAGCCGCGGUAAUACGUAGGGGGCAAGCGUUAUCCGGAAUCACUGGUUGUAAAGGGAGCGUAGACGGCUGAGCAAGCCUGAAGUGAAAGGCAGGGGCCCAA
rnacentral:rRNA from 1 species